rnacentral:rRNA from 1 species
AUUGAACGCUGGCGGCAGGCCUAACACAUGCAAGUCGAGCGGUUGAAGGGAUCUGGCUCCUGGAGUCAGCGGCGGAGGGGUGUGAAAUGCCUGGGAAUCUGCCUGCUAGGGGGGGAUAACGUCCGGAAACGGGCGCUAAUACCGCAUACGCCCCGAGGGAGAAAGGGGGGGAUCUUGGGACCUCACGCUAUCAGAGGAGCCUAGGUCGGAUUAGCUAGUUGGUGGGGUAAAGGCCUACCAAGGCGACGAUCCGUAACUGGUCUGAGAGGAUGAUCAGUCACACUGGAACUGAGACACGGUCCAGACUCCUACGGGAGGCAGCAGUGGGGAAUAUUGGACAAUGGGCGAAAGCCUGAUCCAGCCAUGCCGCGUGUGUGAAGAAGGUCUUCGGAUUGUAAAGCACUUUAAGUUGGGAGGAAGAGCAGUAAGUUAAUACCGUGCUGUUUUGACGUUACCAUCAGAAUAAGCACCGGCUAACUUCGUG